rnacentral:rRNA from 1 species
UCGAGCGAGUCUGCCUUGAAGAUCGGAGUGCUUGCACUCUGUGAAACAAGAUACAGGCUAGCGGCGGACGGGUGAGUAACACGUGGGUAACCUGCCUAAGAGAUCGGGAUAACACCUGGAAACAGAUGCUAAUACCGGAUAACAACAGAUGAUGCCUAUCAACUGUUUAAAAGAUGGUUCUGCUAUCACUCUUGGAUGGACCUGCGGUGCAUUAGCUAGUUGGUAGGGUAACGGCCUACCAAGGCGAUGAUGCAUAGCCGAGUUGAGAGACUGAUCGGCCACAUUGGGACUGAGACACGGCCCAAACUCCUACGGGAGGCAGCAGUAGGGAAUCUUCCACAAUGGACGCAAGUCUGAUGGAGCAACGCCGCGUGAGUGAAGAAGGGUUUCGGCUCGUAAAGCUCUGUUGUUGGUGAAGAAGGACAGGGGUAGUAACUGACCUUUGUUUGACGGUAAUCAAUUAGAAAGUCACGGCUAACUACGUGCCAGCAGCCGCGGUAAUACGUAGGUGGCAAGCGUUGUCCGGAUUUAUUGGGCGUAAAGCGAGUGCAGGCGGCUCGAUAAGUCUGAUGUGAAAGCCUUCGGCUCAACCGGAGAAUUGCAUCAGAAACUGUCGAGCUUGAGUACAGAAGAGGAGAGUGGAACUCCAUGUGUAGCGGUGAAAUGCGUAGAUAUAUGGAAGAACACCGGUGGCGAAGGCGGCUCUCUGGUCUGUUACUGACGCUGAGGCUCGAAAGCAUGGGUAGCGAACAGGAUUAGAUACCCUGGUAGUCCAUGCCGUANACGAUGAGUGCUAAGUGUUGGGAGGUUUCCGCCUCUCAGUGCUGCAGCUAACGCAUUAAGCACUC